UUUUUUUUUGGUUAAAACUU
rnacentral:sRNA from 1 species